rnacentral:rRNA from 1 species
GACGUUAGCGACAGAAGAAGCACCGGCUAACUCCGUGCCAGCAGCCGCGGUAAUACGGAGGGUGCGAGCGUUAAUCGGAAUUACUGGGCGUAAAGCGCAUGCAGGUGGUUUGUUAAGUCAGAUGUGAAAGCCCCGGGGCUCAACCUCGGAAUAGCAUUUGAAACUGGCAGACUAGAGUACUGUAGAGGGGGUAGAAUUUCAGGUGUAGCGGUGAAAUGCGUAGAGAUCUGAAGGAAUACCGGUGGCGAAGGCGGCCCCCCUGGACAGAUACUGACACUCAGAUGCGAAAGCGUGGGGACGCAAACAGGAUUAGACUACCCUGGUAG